rnacentral:rRNA from 1 species
CACGUGGGGAACCUGCCCCAUAGUCUGGGAUACCACUUGGAAACAGGUGCUAAUACCGGAUAAGAAAGCAGAUCGCAUGAUCAGCUUUUAAAAGGCGGCGUAAGCUGUCGCUAUGGGAUGGCCCCGCGGUGCAUUAGUUAGUUGGUAAGGUAAAGGCUUACCAAGGCGAUGAUGCAUAGCCGAGUUGAGAGACUGAUCGGCCACAUUGGGACUGAGACACGGCCCAAACUCCUACGGGAGGCAGCAGCU